AUGGCCUACGGGGCGCAGCAGUGAGGAAUAUUGGUCAAUGGCCGGGAGGCUGAACCAGCCAAGUCGCGUGAGGGAAGACGGCCCUACGGGUUGUAAACCUCUUUUGUCAGGGAGCAAGGUGCAGGUCGGGACCUGCUGUGAGAGUACCUGAAGAAAAAGCAUCGGCUAACUCCGUGCCAGCAGCCGCGGUAAUACGGAGGAUGCGAGCGUUAUCCGGGUUUAUUGGGUUUAAAGGGUGCGUAGGCGGUUUGUCAAGUCAGCGGUAAAAAUUCCGGGCUCAACCCGGUCCCGCCGUUGAAACUGGC
rnacentral:rRNA from 1 species